GAUGAAGAACGUAGCGAAAUGCGAUAAGUAAUGUGAAUUGCAGAAUUCAGUGAAUCAUCGAAUCUUUGAACGCCCAUUGCGUCCGCCAGUAUUCUGGCGGGCAUGCCUGUCUGAGCGUCAUUUCAACCCUCAUGCCCCUAGGGCGUGGUGUUGGGGAUCGGCCAAAGCCCGCGAGGGACGGCCGGCCCCUAAAUCUAGUGGCGGACCCGUCGUGGCCUCCUCUGCGAAGUAGUGAUAUUCCGCAUCGGAGAGCGAUGAGCCCCUGCCGUUAAACCCCCAACUUUCCAAGGUUGACCUCAGAUCAGGUAGGAAUACCCGCUGAACUUAAGCAUAUCAAUAAGCGGAGGA
rnacentral:misc_RNA from 1 species